GACGAACGCUGGCGGCGCGCCUAACACAUGCAAGUCGAACGAGCGAGAGAGAGCUUGCUUUCUCAAGCGAGUGGCGAACGGGUGAGUAACGCGUGAGGAACCUGCCUCAAAGAGGGGGACAACAGUGAGAAAUCACUGCUAAUACCGCAUAAGCUGUGAGUAUCGCAUGAUACAAGCAGAAAGGAACAAUCCGCUGAUAGAUGAGCUUGCGUCUGAUUAGUUAGUUGGUAGGGUAACGGCCUACCAAGACGAUGAUCAGUAGCCGGACUGAGAGGUUGAACGGCCACAUUGGGACUGAGAUACGGCCCAG
rnacentral:rRNA from 1 species